UAAUUUUGUACCCUUAUAGGUCCUAGAUGAGGUUGCCAAGAAAUGCCACUCCUGCGUUGUUGAUUUUAGCCCUUUCAAUCGCAGGCAUCAUUGUCGGAACUGUGGUGAAAUCUUUUGUGACAAAUGCAGCCAGGGAAGGAUUGCUCUGACGGCUGAGGAUAAUGCUCCACUUGUCCGAGUUUGUGAUAGAUGCAUGGCUGAGGUCACUCAAAGGCUUAGCAUUGCUAAGGAUGUUGCCAACAGAUC